rnacentral:rRNA from 1 species
GUGCCAGCAGCCGCGGUAAUACGGGGGGAGCAAGCGUUGUUCGGAUUUACUGGGCGUAAAGGGCGCGUAGGCGGCCACCGCAAGUCAGUUGUGAAAUCUCUGGGCUUAACCCAGAAAGGUCAACUGAUACUGCGGGGCUAGAGUGCAGAAGGGGCAACUGGAAUUCUCGGUGUAGCGGUGAAAUGCGUAGAUAUCGAGAGGAACACCUGCGGCGAAGGCGGGUUGCUGGGCUGACACUGACGCUGAGGCGCGAAAGCUAGGGGAGCGAACGGGAUUAGAAACCCCCGUAGUCC